UCCUACAUAUUUGGUUCCCACGAUGAUACUUCAUUCCCAUGAUCUCAAACCACGAUUUCUAACUCAUAUCCCACCAACUCUUCAGCGGGAAUUGUCAGUAACAUGAUUUCACAGCCUUUUGAAAUCAUUUUUCUACUUUUACAAUAAGUAACUCUUUCUCCCUUGUGCACAUCAAGCAGGAAUUCUGGAUAGAAGCUAUUAAGUCUUUUCCAUUAUAAGUUCACUGCACCAUGUUGUCAUAGAUGAUUUGGUACAUUAUAGAGGAGUUAAUGGCGGCUGAACGUAAUUUCAUUAGCGAAAUUAACAGCAAGUCAAUGAACUGGAAAAUGAAGGAAGAUCACAUUUACGCAAGUGUUGGCAUAUCUCUUAUCCAAAGGUUCAACCAACAAAUUAAGGAAAUAGAAGAUCAAUAGGAAAUAAAGGAUCCAUAUUUCAACAUGUGUAACUUCAAAGUUAGACCUAUGAAGCAGCUGUCAAAUUCACAAGAAUUUGACGACAGUGAAAUAUUCGGUAAUUAAAUCUUCUCAUUUUUUCCAGUUGUAUUUUAUUUUUCAUGAUCUGUUUUCUAUCUUUUGAGAACUAAACCAAUCCCAAUUAUAGUGUCAGAAAUCAAAGCUUAAGCUUUAAAUUAAAGUUGAAUGACUUAAUUUUGUUAGAUACUUGAGUAUUUAGGUGGACGGGUAGUUUUGCUUGUUGUAGCAUUAUCUCUUCUUCUUCUUCUUUUUUGUAAGUUAUUCCAUCCUCUGGAUCCUUUAUUAAGAAGAAAUAAGAUAAGAUACUUGGGAUCUAUUUAUUUUUCAAUACAAUCCCAAUUACAAUACCUUAUAUCAAAACUUAAGUUUCAGAAUAAAGCUGAAUUUCUUGAUUUUAUAGUUCAAUGUUCGAAUCAAUAUAGAUACAAUUACGGUCUUACAGACGAAAUUGGCGAGGGAUAUUAAAAGGACUAUCUGAUCUUUCUCUGCUGCUCGGGCCAUUUGAUUUUUCUAUACUGCUCUUCAUUGAUACUCUGUCAUUCAUACCAUGAAGUGAUGAAGCUAUAUAUACAGUAGCACAUCAGUAAAAAGAUUCAGCUAACUUCGACAGAUGAAUUACGAAAGAUAAAUACUUCAUCUAUUUGUCAAGUUGCUUUAUUUCAUGAGCGAACACAAAGAAGGUGAACAAUGAACUAUUAUUCAAUGUGACUUCUUUCCUUAUAAAUUGUACUCAAAUCUUGAUGUUUAAUUUUUUUUUAAUUGUUUAUAGGUCUUGGAUAGCACCAUACGUCUAAGCUAUCUUCACAACUACUGGGAAAAUUUCUUAGAAUAAUACUGUCAUUUGGUCUUGAUCAUACUUAGGCCCCAAUAUUAGCCCCAACGAAAUUCAUCUAUUUAUUUUUUAUUUUAAUUCAU